rnacentral:lncRNA from 1 species
UUAGGUCGGCAUCAUAGAGAGCUUGCUCGAUGAUGAGCUCUCUCUGCUUCAGCACCGACAUAUCCUUCAGUCGGUGAAAGUCCUCUCGAUCUUCUGCCUCCACUUGAUUAUUUUCGUUCGGUUGAGUUCGGGGGUUGCCCCAGCGAGAACGAAACCCCCAGGGUAGUGAAGAAGAAGCGAAAAAAAAUUAGUUCUUCCACCCGUGAAUCGACGAUGGAAGACCGAUUAUGAAUGAAAGGCCUUUCCGGGGAUUGAAGAACCACCACCCUCGGGCUUUUGGGUGGGGUCGGAGGAUGAAGAAUGCCCGAAAGAGAGAGAUGCGGGGAAAGGUCGGCAAGAGCUGACACAACAAAGCGAAGCUGAUUAUUAAUCGGAUUGAGUUCGGCGCCAGUUGCGUCAGGCAAAGCCCGUAAUAAUCCAGGACAUUCCGGACGAACUCCGAAAUCGAAAAGCGAAGACCAGCCCGAAGGUCCUCAACAUAAAAAGCCACCUAGCCCGGAGGUGGGUUGUUAACCCGACCCUC